rnacentral:rRNA from 1 species
CCUACGUGUGGCUGCAGUGGGGAAUAUUGGACAAUGGGCGAAAGCCUGAUCCAGCCAUGCCGCGUGUGUGAAGAAGGCCUUCGGGGUGUAAAGCACUUUCAGUGGGGAAGAAAGCCUUGGGGCUAAUACCCUCGAGGAAGGACAUCACCCACAGAAGAAGCACCGGCUAACUCCGUGCCAGCAGCCGCGGUAAUACGGAGGGUGCGAGCGUUAAUCGGAAUUACUGGGCGUAAAGCGCGCGUAGGCGGUCUGAUAAGCCGGUUGUGAAAGCCCCGGGCUCAACCUGGGAACGGCAUCCGGAACUGUCAGGCUAGAGUGCAGGAGAGGAAGGUAGAAUUCCCGGUGUAGCGGUGAAAUGCGUAGAGAUCGGGAGGAAUACCAGUGGCGAAGGCGGCCUUCUGGACUGACACUGACGCUGAGGUGCGAAAGCGUGGGUAGCAAACAGGAUUAGAUACCCCGUAGUC